CGAGGGUGGGAGAUUCAUACGAUCGGAGGUGUUGGGUGUAAUGCGAGGCAAAGUGGGCGCAGCAAUCCAUAAGCAUAAACCCACAUUGAAAUUGUUGCUUGCUGUGCUUCUUGAACCCUCUUCUUUUUUCGCGUCGUCAACAUGAAUUUCAAGCCCUCUCCCGCUCGUUCUCAUCAUCAACUCUCGCUGCUUUCUUCCAGAUUACCUGAUUCUCUUAGCUUAAUAUGCUUCAACCUUGAUGUCAGCGAUUUUGAUUCGCCUGCCAUUCCCUUCUUUUCCAUGUCACACACAUGAGAACCAUUUAACCGGUUCUCCCCCAUGCAGACAUUUUCAAGUUAUUCUUGAGGGAGAUAUAGAAAGAAAAAAACAGUUGUGAAUGUCUGGAUGCAAUAAAUCUCCAAAAAGUGAUCAACAUUCGAUCAAAUAUAAGCGGAAUCAACAUGGGGGAAGUCUUUCCCGUGUGAAUCAUAAGCCUUCUGUUUCCAAUAGUGAGAAUAAGCAGUGCUACACGAGUUCUGAGCCAAAGCCGAAGCACCCUCAGAUACUGAGCACCGCUCAGCUCAUCUCUGCAGUAGGACAGAUAUGGGAUUCUGCAAGUUGCCCACUCUCAGUUUUGCUCCGCGAGGAAAAUGGGAGUCGAGUUGAUAAAGGGUUCCCGAUAAAGAAUAUUCCUGAUGGCAUUCAUGUGGAAAGGAAUGGAGGGGUAUGUAGCUCAACUAACACUAAUUACUUUCAGGUUAAUGUGGGAGCUACAGCAUAUGGUUCACAGAUUUUGCAGGAAAAAAUAGAUUUCCCUACGGUAACACAAAAGGCAUUGGUGCUUCAGUCACGUAAUGGACGUCAGGAGCAUAUUGGUUCUUUGUUCCAGAGAUUUAUGCAGGCCACUGAUAACAGUUUAAAUGAAUAUCAGAAAGAAACAGAACUUGGGACUGAGAAAAUCUCAUUUCAAUCGCGAAAUGUUUAUUGGUGGAUGAGUAGGGAUGCGCCUAAAGGACUUAAAUACCACGUGAAGGCUACAGAUCUUGGGAACAAGAAAGUUAAUUCCCCAGUGGGUGGGGACUGCAUUUCAAUAGAUACAAGCACCUUGACGGUGGUUAAUGAGAGUGAUGUUUGCAAUCCCGAUUUAGUUUUAGAUGAAGAUCUACCAUUAUCCAGUGAUACAGCUACGGACAGAGAAAAUGUUAGCACUCUGUGUUCGGAUUAUUUUCUUCCAGUUUUGCCUGACACUAAUUCUGAUGUUGGUGCUUGGCAGAUCUCAUCUUCUAAUAUCUAUGCAGAUUAUCAUAUUAAAUCUUUGCAUACCCGUGAUAGUGCUUCUAUCCAAUGCCAGCAUAAGCUUGACAAUAAUGAAAUGCUGGAAAUUCAAAGAAGACAUUUUGCGGAUAUAACCGAUGAUGAAGCUAAGGUUCAGAGCUUUGCAGCAACCCCUCAGAAGCCUUGUUAUUCUGUUGCAAAGCAAGAGCAUGCUUUUUCUGGGGCAUUGGCUGGUGUAUGUGUUAGCCUUUGUUUACAUCCAGUUGACACGAUUAAGACGGUUAUUCAGUCAUGCCGUGCAGAACAGAGAUCCAUUGUUAACAUUGGAAAAUCAAUUGUUUCUGACAGAGGAUUGCUCGGACUAUAUCGUGGAAUUACUACAAACAUUGCAUGUUCUGCUCCAAUAUCUGCAGUUUAUACUUUCACCUAUGAAUCAAUUAAAGCAGCUUUGGUUCCUUAUCUUCCAAAGGAGUAUUAUUCUUUUGCCCAUUGUGUGGGUGGUGGUGCUGCAAGUAUUGCAACCUCUUUUAUUUUCACUCCUAGUGAACGAAUUAAGCAGCAGAUGCAAGUUGGGUCGCAUUAUCGCAGCUGUUGGGAUGCUUUGGUUGGAAUUAUCAGAAAUGGUGGGGUUACAUCCCUUUAUGCAGGUUGGGGAGCUGUACUGUGCCGAAAUGUUCCACAUUCAAUUAUCAAGUUUUAUACAUAUGAAAGCUUGAAGAAAGUGAUGCCAUCGUUGUCAUCUACUAUUCAACCUAAUGCAUUUCAGACUUUAUUAUGUGGAGGAUUAGCUGGAUCUACUGCUGCAUUGUUCACAACUCCUUUUGAUGUGAUCAAGACAAGAUUGCAGACACAGUGGAUUGCAGCUCCCUGGCUCUAUAAAUCAAUAUGAUAAUGUGUUCCAAGGCCUUUACAAAAUUAGCAAGAGUGAAGGUUUGAAGGGCCUGUACAGGGGAUUGACUCCAAGGUUGAUCAUGUACAUGUCUCAAGGAUCACUGUUCUUUGCCUCUUAUGAAUUUUUCAAGAAAGUGUUUUCUUUGGAAGCAUCCAACCCCACUGGUUCACACGUUCAUAAAUGUUGAAGACUGAAGAAAUAAAAACAGAGUUAAUGGUGCUUGAACUGAGAUAGAUUGCUGAAGAAAAGGUUAAUGGUGCAUGAAAUGUAUAUUUAAUGCAUGCGGUGGCUUGGCUUGCUGGACCCGAAGGUGCACAAAUACGAGAGAAAAGGGGGGAUUUGUAUUCAUAUGUUGAAAGUGAAUACUAAAUAGUUUUGCUCCAGAAAUUAGUUAACGUUUAUUUUCGGAGACAGGACACAGAGAUAUGGACAGUACAUGUUUAAAAUGUGUUUGGAAGCAGAGACAUAGAUACGGAACACAUUGUCUCUGACACAAUUUUUUAUAUUUUUGUGUUCACUCUUUUACGAAGGACAAUGAUGGACACGGGAUUUGGAAGAGUGGACACGGACUUCUUAUAAAUUUUGUUUUCCUUUUUAUUUAUAGAUAUUUUUUAUUAUUC